GAAUGUUUCCGAGCCGGUGUGCCUAAAGCAGUCAUGCCAUGGCAGGCCGGCCGGGGUGGUACCGGAAACGGUGCCGCCUUCCCUUGUUUGAAAAGGAA
rnacentral:ncRNA from 1 species